GAUAGAGUACCUGACUACGAAUCAGGCGGUUGCAGGUUCGAAUCCUGCUGGGUGCA
rnacentral:tRNA from 1 species